rnacentral:snoRNA from 1 species
GGUCGGUGAUGCACCGGCAUGUAUUACCUGACCUGAGGUGAUGACCAAUGCUCAUUGGCUCUAGAGUUACUCUGAGGCCCC